UACGAAGGGUGCAAGCGUUAAUCGGAAUUACUGGGCGUAAAGCGUGCGUAGGCGGUUUCUUAAGUCCGUUGUGAAAGCCCUGGGCUCAACCUGGGAACUGCGAUGGAUACUGAGGAGCUGGAGUACGGUAGAGGAAGGUGGAAUUCCCGGUGUAGCGGUGAAAUGCGUAGAGAUCGGGAGGAACAUCAGUGGCGAAGGCGGCCUUCUGGACCAACACUGACACUGAGGAGCGAAAGCCAGGGGAGCAAACGGG
rnacentral:rRNA from 1 species